CAUACUCCAGAUCUCUGAACAUUAGUGUACGGCUCCCCAACCCUGAUUACAAUCAGAUUUAGGCAGUUUCUAUUCAAAUAUAGUUCCCAGUGUAUCCUGGUAAAAAGAACAGACGGGCUGAUCUAGCCAGAACUGGUUUUGAGUACAUGCCCAGAAAGGCAACAUUGUGUCCUUCAACACCAUGUGUGCCUGGUGCCCAUGGAAGCCAGAAGAGGGCCUCAGACCACCUGGAACCAGACUUACAGAUGGUUGUGAUACCAUGUCCUGGCUGUGAAAUGAAAGUCAUUGCCCAACUCGGUCACCGUGUGCCCCCGAGUGGGUCCAAAGCAAGGACCCAAACCCCCAAAACUGUGAGCUAAAACAAACCUUUCUCUUUUUCAUA